UGGGUAACCUGCCUCAAAGAGGGGAAUAGCCUCCCGAAAGGGAGAUUAAUACCGCAUGAUAUGUUUAAGCCGCAUGACUUUAACAUCAAAGGAUUUUCUUUUAGAAAUUCCACUUUGAGAUGGACCCGCGGCGCAUUAGCUAGUUGGUGAGGUAACGGCUCACCAAGGCAACGAUGCGUAGCCGACCUGAGAGGGUNAUCCGGCCACAUUGGAACUGAGACACGGCCCAGACUCUACGGGAG
rnacentral:rRNA from 1 species